rnacentral:tRNA from 1 species
GCCUUCGUAGUGUAGUGGUCAGCACACCCGACGUCUAUUCCAGAGGUCCGUGGUUCGAGUCCCGGCGAAGGCG